rnacentral:tRNA from 1 species
GCAUUGGUGGUUCAGUAGUAGAAUUCUUUCCUUCCAUGCAAAACACUUGAGUUUGAUUCCUGGCCAAUGUA